GAUGAACGCUGGCGGCGUGCUUAACACAUGCAAGUCGAACGAAGCACCUUGAUUUGAUUCUUCGGAUGAAGAUCUUGGUGACUGAGUGGCGGACGGGUGAGUAACGCGUGGGUAACCUGCCUCAUACAGGGGGAUAACAGUUAGAAAUGACUGCUAAUACCGCAUAAGACCACAGCACCGCAUGGUGCAGGGGUAAAAACUCCGGUGGUAUGAGAUGGACCCGCGUCUGAUUAGGUAGUUGGUGGGUAACGGCCUACCAAGCCGACGAUCAGUAGCCGACCUGAGAGGGUGACCGGCCACAUUGGGACUGAGACACGGCCCAAACUCCUACGGGAGGCAGCAGUGGGGAAUAUUGCACAAUGGGGGAAACCCUGAUGCAGCGACGCCGCGUGAGCGAUGAAGUAUUUCGGUAUGUAAAGCUCUAUCAGCAGGGAAGAAAAUGACGGUACCUGACUAAGAAGCACCGGCUAAAUACGUG
rnacentral:rRNA from 1 species